CCACCGCCCAGGCUGUCACGAGACCCAGCCAGCUGAUUUCAACCCUUCCGCCUUUGGCCCCGCCCUCCCCCUUCCGACUGUUCUUUCCCUAAAAUUUUGCGUUCCGCCGGCCCGCCCCCUAGCAGUUACACAUGCGCAGAGUAACGACGCCGACCGUGGGAUCUGGAUUCCACGCUGCGCGUGAGGGGGCCGGCGCCUCGAGAACACAGAGUUGACUUGCUCAAUUCAUGUGUGAAUGUUAACAAUGCAAAAAAGACUUAGAUGCAUGGAAUUUCGACAGUCACAAUAUAUUUGAAAAAUGGUGAUCCAAAACUUGACCAUGAAGAAGUUCUUAGAAUGACAAUGACUCAUUCACGCCUAAAUCAAGUUGAAGGUGGCAAUGUGCCACCUACAAGUACUACAUCGUCAACCUCCUCUCAAAUGGGCUGACCAUAUCAGAGAUGACAAAAGUCUGGCUGAUGAAAUAUAAGCGGACUCUGUUGGUGUGGGCUACCAGAUUCAGCUAGUAGGUAUCCUUUUUUCCCCACCCUUUAUGUUGUUUUUUUGUGUGUGUGUGUGCCCAGAGCAUAGUUGUGAUGGCUAGAGCUGCUUGUCUCUGGACAUCUGCCUCAUUUCUGAAUUCAUUACUCAAUGAUGUUAUAUUUUCUAAGGGCUGGGCUAUUGAGUGUCACUGUGUUAUUCAUGCAAAUAAAAAGAAAUUAAUAGAGUAUUACUAUUUCAGCAAAAUAUAGUAAGAGGCUACCAAUAAAAAUAGCCACAUUAAUGAGCUUUACAGAACAAAGUGUGAUUUUGUUUGGUAUUCCUUUGAAUUUCUUCACCAGAGUACAGCACAUACUGGAAUCUCUAAAUACUACCUAAAUAAUAAAUGUUUAAAGUAGAACAAAAAGAAAAUAUUGUACUAUACUAGAAAGAAACAGAGGUUUAGUUACAGCAAGUAAGGUAUUACUUUUUUUCUUGUUUAUAACUGUCUUCUGAAAAUGUAUUUACUUACUAGGGAACAUAUUUUUUUCUCUCUUUGCUCUACCUUACAAAUAGUCAAAUCCCAGUUCUACUUUAUUAGCCACUUAACUUUUGAGCCUCAAUUUCUUUAUCAAUGAGAUGAAGGUAAUAAUACAUGUCAACAACAGUUGUUUUGAUAUUAUAUAAGAAUGAAGAAAUGCUAUGCUAUCUAAUAUUGAUGAACCAAUAUUAUUUAAUAUUAUAAAUAUAUAUAAUAGAAAAGUAAAACUCAUAAACUCUAAAAAAUGGGAUAAGGGAGAGAGAGACAGUCUAAAUGUACCAAUUAUUUAUCUAAUAGUAGGGAGUGAAUUAAUACUUCCCCAGAUUGUAAAAACCAAGAAUGAAGGGCAGAAGGAAAAUAACGUUUAUGGAUCGUUUAGUAAGCACCACUGAUUCUCCAUAAGUGUUAACUUUCUCACUGCCUUAUAUACCCUUUGUUUUCUUCCUCUGUAAUUCUAGAACCAGAUAAUGCAAUAUUUGGAGCAGCACUGUAUUAAGUAAGCAUUUAGGGCCCCAGCAAAGCAAGGACCAUCAAGAUGAAAUAAACUUGAAAAGGAUUUGCUAAUUAAUGCUUUUAUUAAAAGCAUCAAAAUAAUAAUCAUGGUGGAGAAAUUAGAACUUUGUGUUUCCUUCACUAAUUUCGUGAGUACAGAAUUGAGGACCUCUAGCCAGCUCUGAAUUGGAGAGAUUAAAAAAAAAUCUGUGAAAAUAUGGAACGAGAGGCUUUAUAUAACUAUGAUGAAAACAGGAAUUGAAGAUAGCCCUGAGAGAUCAAAGGAGAGUUAUAAGAGAGGGCUUUGCUGGACACUGAAAGUUUACCACGCACCCUGCUCUGUUAGAACAGCCUGUUGUUACCUGUUGCUAAGCCCAUCUGUACAGUUGAAGAUACUCCCCAAAGUUCAGAGAGCUAAUGGGAUUUGUCCAAAGCCUCAUAGUCAAGUAAGUGCCAGAGUUAGAAUUUGAACCCAAAUCCACUUGGUUCCAUGGCCCAGCAUUCUCUGAGAGCAAUAACUGACUGCUGUUUUUAUUUAUAAGUCAAAUGAUACUCUGUGAGUACAUGGCAUAAACUGACUGAGAUCUUCUUUUGGUCCUUUCUCUGGGAGUUUUAAGAUUUUAUGUCGUGACUAGAACAUAAACUGUGUAGUGGUUAUUAUUACUAUCAGUGGGUAGAGGAAAAGAUAUGUACAUGUGGAGGUCACAGAUAGUCUUAGGGGGAUUACAAAGGUGAUAAAUAGUGAGAAUUUCCACUGGAGAAAAAAUGUUUAUGUUAAUAAUUAUUUAGAAAUGUUGUAGUUAUAUUUUUCCUGAGAUUCAUUAUCAUUUCCACUCUCAGGAUUUUCCAACAUGUAGUCUUAUUUAUAGACUUAGUUAUAUCAG